rnacentral:rRNA from 1 species
UAGAGUUUGAUCAUGGCUCAGAUUGAACGCUGGCGGCAGGCCUAACACAUGCAAGUCGAGCGGCAGCGACAACAAAGAUUCUUCGGAUGAUUUGUUGGGCGGCGAGCGGCGGACGGGUGAGUAAUGGCUGGGAACCUGCCCUGACGUGGGGGAUAACAGUUGGAAACGACUGCUAAUACCGCAUGAUGUCUUUGGACCAAAGAGGAGGACCUUCGGGCUUCUCGCGUCGGGAUGGGCCCAGUUGGGAUUAGCUAGUUGGUGAGGUAAUGGCUCACCAAGGCGACGAUCCCUAGCUGGUUUGAGAGGAUGAUCAGCCACACUGGAACUGAGACACGGUCCAGACUCCUACGGGAGGCAGCAGUGGGGAAUAUUGCACAAUGGGCGCAAGCCUGAUGCAGCCAUGCCGCGUGUGUGAAGAAGGCCUUCGGGUUGUAAAGCACUUUCAGCAGUGAGGAAGGGUAAUGAGUUAAUACCUUAUUAUCUUGACGUUAGCUGCAGAAGGAGCACCGGCUAACUCCGUGCCAGCAGCCGCGGUAAUACGGAGGGUGCGAGCGUUAAUCGGAAUUACUGGGCGUAAAGCGCAUGCAGGCGGUUUGUUAAGCAAGAUGUGAAAGCCCCGGGCUCAACCUGGGAACCGCAUUUUGAACUGGCAGGCUAGAGUCCUGUAGAGGGGGGUAGAAUUUCA